UACAGGGGGGGGCAAGCGUUGUUCGGAAUUACUGGGCGUAAAGGGCUUGUAGGUGGCCAACUAAGUCAAACGUGAAAUCCCUCAGCUUAACUGGGGAACUGCGUCUGAUACUGGAUGGCUUGAGUUUGGGAGAGGGAUGCGGAAUUCCAGGUGUAGCGGUGAAAUGCGUAGAUAUCAGGAAGAACACCAACGGCGAAGGCAGCUCGCUGGGACGGAACUGACGCUAAGGCGCGAAAGCGUGGGGAGCGAACAGG
rnacentral:rRNA from 1 species